AUGAGUUCUCCCUGAGACUAUAAGUCUCCUGAAGGAACGUUGAAGACGACGACGUUGAUAGGCCGGGUGUGUAAGCGCAGCGAUGCGUUGAGCUAACCGGUACUAAUGAACCGUGAGGCUUAACCUU
rnacentral:rRNA from 1 species